rnacentral:lncRNA from 1 species
AUUUAUCUAGAUGUGGAGUCCUUUGGGAAUGAGCAUAGCAGGCUUGUUCCUGCCCAGCAUCUUGGAAGAUCUCGGACUAGUGCUCCCUGCAGAUGAUUGGGACCUAAGAAACAGAGCCCUGCAGAAGGACUGGCAAGACCACAUGUCCCGGGGUGGCCAGUGUUUCCAGCAGUGACACUUGGGAUUGAAACCAACCUUUGCAGAGCGAGAGACCCCACAGUACCAGCUGUGCCACUGACUGGGAAGUGCCCAGCCUUGGCCCUAGAGUGGGAAAAUGGCCUGGACAUGAAAUGUGUGGGGACCUGACACCUGUGCUGGCCCCUGCAGCAGAGGCAGAGGCCCAGGCAGGCGGGGACCUGCUUUUCCCAGGGCUCUCCAGGGAGUCCCUGCACAGCCCUCAAGAGCCUGCCCUGCGUUAUCAUCCUCAAGGUCAAGAAACUUCCUUGGGGGAGUCUCCAGAGACAGGCAGCCUGGCCAUGCCCUGGCGGACCCACCCACUCUACUCCAGGACCUCCGGAUUUGGUCUGGGAGUCUCGGCACAGGGGAGUCUGCCAUCGAACCAGCCACCUGCAUCAGAGCCGGGUCCACCUCCUCCGUCCCGCUGUGGCUCUUUGAGCCUCAGUUUCUUCAUCUGUAAGGUGGGAGGUGAGGAUGACCAAUUCAGUGUCUGGUGAAGACAAAAUUUAUCCCCUUGUCCAGGGCUGGCCUGGAGCAGACCCUCCCCUUCCUCCUCAUCUCGGCCCCAGGACAAGCAUGGCUUCCCUCCCUAGCCUUCCUCCCUUGGAGCUCCAGGCACUGAGGACUCCUGGCAGAUCUCAUUCAUCUCUCUCUCUCUCCCUCUCUCCCUCUCUCUCUCUCCCCGACCCCCCCCCCCCCGCCAGAAAGCCACGUAGAUAUCCCUCUCUCCUGGAAAACUUUCCUGCCCCCAAGCCCCGGUGGGGUGCCUCUCCUACGGCCUUGCAUGUAUCCCAAACUUUCCCUACCUUCCCAUCAAUCGUGGUGAGCUGGAAUUACCUGAUAAUCUACCUGCCUCUCUCUUGGACUACAGUCCCCUUGAGAGUGAGACUGGGUCCAGUAGACUGUUGUCUGCCCAGUGCCCAGCACAGGGUAGAUGUCCAUGAAAUAUACAUGGACCAGUGACCGACUGAGAUUGAGACUUGACUGGAAGCAUCUUCCAAAUGGCUGCUGGGAGAGCAGCCCAUCCGGCACCCCAGCUCAUGCCCCAUCCCCCACUCCUCCAGCUCCUCUCCUCCCAAGUCCCUGCCGUCACAGCCAAGCUCGCGCUCCAAGGCAGCUCUGCCAUCAUCUGAUGCAGACUCGUCAGCUGUUGCCAUGGAGACCAGCCAGCAGUGAGCUCUGUGCCCUCCUGCUGCAGGGGCCGAGCAGAGCAUGGGGGCACCCUGAAGCGUGCAGAGAGAACCCAUCAAGGAGGAGGCGGGGGGAACGCGUGGCUCUGCAUCCAGGCAAACCUGGAGUUGGGCCCCAUCUGCCCCUACUCUCCUUCCUACACCUGUGACACCUCAGAUGAGGCUGAAGGAAGGAGAGAUUCCAUUCCUACAAUAGCACAAAAAGAUUUUCUGUGACAUUUGAAAACAAGAAGAAGCCUACAGGUUUGUUAACCAAAUUUUGAACUUGGUCUGGCUCUGAGGGCUACUAAUGUGGGGGCCACAUUGGUUGCUUCCUGCAGUGAGCUAAGGGCUAUGGGCAACUCUGCUCAUGAAGAGCUUAAGGUGGCAUCUCACUUGCAGGACAGCCUCCAGGUCUCACUGGAGUCAGGGAAAGUGAUGGUUGUCCUAUCUCCUUGUUGCUUUAAAUGGUAGCUAUCUCUGAAGAUGGCUGAAUGUCCCUGUGCCCACUGGGGACUUUGGGAACAGAAACAUGCCAAGAUGCUACAACCGGCCCUGGGCACAAAGCCACCUCUCCAGCUUUCCAUGCCCAGCAUUAGUCCUGGCAUGGAGCUGAACACCUGUGUCUGAGGCAGGCCUAGGCCCUGAUGCAAAAUGUACCACCCACCUCCUUCUGCCAAAUGUCAACUCGACCCAGCUGCA